rnacentral:rRNA from 1 species
AGAUGUGGGCGUGCCCGAAAGGGAACCUAGACACAGGUGCUGCAUGGCUGUCGUCAGCUCGUGUCGUGAGAUGUUGGGUUAAGUCCCGCAACGAGCGCAACCCUUGCCAUUAGUUGCUACAUUCAGUUGGGCACUCUAAUGGGACCGCCGGUGACAAACCGGAGGAAGGUGGGGAUGACGUCAAGUCCUCAUGGCCCUUAUGGGUAGGGCUUCACACGUAAUACAAUGGUCGGUACAGAGGGCUGCCAACCCGCAAGGGGGAGCUAAUCCCAGAAAGCCGAUCGUAGUCCGGAUUGUAGUCUGCAACUCGACUGCAUGAAGCCGGAAUCGCUAGUAAUCGCGGAUCA